rnacentral:rRNA from 1 species
AAGCCUGAUGCAGCGACGCCGCGUGAGGGAUGACGGCCUUCGGGUUGUAAACCUCUUUCAGCAGGGAAGAAGCGAAAGUGACGGUACCUGCAGAAGAAGCGCCGGCUAACUACGUGCCAGCAGCCGCGGUAAUACGUAGGGCGCAAGCGUUGUCCGGAAUUAUUGGGCGUAAAGAGCUCGUAGGCGGCUUGUCACGUCGAUUGUGAAAGCUCGGGGCUUAACCCCGAGUCUGCAGUCGAUACGGGCUAGCUAGAGUGUGGUAGGGGAGAUCGGAAUUCCUGGUGUAGCGGUGAAAUGCGCAGAUAUCAGGAGGAACACCGGUGGCGAAGGCGGAUCUCUGGGCCAUUACUGACGCUGAGGAGCGAAAGCGUGGGGAGCGAACAGGAUUAGAUACCCUGGUAGUCCACGCCGUAAACGGUGGGAACUAGGUGUUGGCGACAUUCCACGUCGUCGGUGCCGCAGCUAACGCAUUAAGUUCCCCGCCUGGGGAGUACGGCCGCAAGGCUAAAACUCAAAGGAAUUGACGGGGGCCCGCACAAGCAGCGGAGCAUGUGGCUUAAUUCGACGCAACGCGAAGAACCUUACCAAGGCUUGACAUACACCGGAAACAUCCAGAGAUGGGUGCCCCCUUGUGGUCGGUGUACAGGUGGUGCAUGGCUGUCGUCAGCUCGUGUCGUGAGAUGUUGGGUUAAGUCCCGCAACGAGCGCAACCCUUGUUCUGUGUUGCCAGCAUGCCCUUCGGGGUGAUGGGGACUCACAGGAGACCGCCGGGGUCAACUCGGAGGAAGGUGGGGACGACGUCAAGUCAUCAUGCCCCUUAUGUCUUGGGCUGCACACGUGCUACAAUGGCCGRUACAAUGAGCUGCGAUACCGUAAGGUGGAGCGAAUCUCAAAAAGUCGGUCUCAGUUCGGAUUGGGGUCUGCAACUCGACCCCAUGAAGUUGGAGUUGCUAGUAAUCGCAGAUCAGCAUUGCUGCGGUGAAUACGUUCCCGGGCCUUGUACACACCGCCCGUCACGUCACGAAAGUCGGUAACACCCGAAGCCGGUGGCCCAACCCCUUGUGGGAGGGAGCUU